AACGCGUAGGCAACCUGCCUUUAUGAAUGGGAUAACAUCGAGAAAUUGGUGCUAAUACCGUAUAAUGUUCUUUUUUCACCUGGAGAAAGAAUCAAAGGUGCUUUUGUACCACAUAGAGAUGGGCCUGCGUUCCAUUAGCUUGUUGGUAAGGUAACGGCUUACCAAGGCCACGAUGGAUAGCUGAUCUGAGAGGGUGAUCAGCCACACUGGGACUGAGAUACGGCCCAG
rnacentral:rRNA from 1 species